UGGGGAAUAUUGCACAAUGGGGGAAACCCUGAUGCAGCGACGCCGCGUGGAGGAAGAAGGUCUUCGGAUUGUAAACUCCUGUUGUUGGGGAAGAUAAUGACGGUACCCAACAAGGAAGUGACGGCUAACUACGUG
rnacentral:rRNA from 1 species